rnacentral:rRNA from 1 species
AACGAACGCUGGCGGCAUGCCUAACACAUGCAAGUCGAACGAGACCUUCGGGUCUAGUGGCGCACGGGUGCGUAACGCGUGGGAACCUGCCCUUAGGUUCGGAAUAACUCAGAGAAAUUUGAGCUAAUACCGGAUAAUGUCUUCGGACCAAAGAUUUAUCGCCUUUGGAUGGGCCCGCGUAGGAUUAGCUUGUUGGUGGGGUAAUGGCCUACCAAGGCGACGAUCCUUAGCUGGUCUGAGAGGAUGAUCAGCCACACUGGGACUGAGACACGGCCCAGACUCCUACGGGAGGCAGCAGUGGGGAAUAUUGGACAAUGGGCGAAAGGCUGAUCCAGCAAUGCCGCGUGAGUGAUGAAGGCCUUAGGGUUGUAAAGCUCUUUUACCAGGUAUGAUAAUGACAGUACCUGGAGAAUAAGCUCCGGCUAACUCCGUG